rnacentral:rRNA from 1 species
CAGCAGCCGCGGUAAAACGGAGGGUGCAAGCGUUAAUCGGAAUUACUGGGCGUAAAGCGCACGCAGGCGGUCUGACAAGUCAGAUGUGAAAUCCCCGGGCUUAACCUGGGAACUGCAUUUGAAACUGUCAGGCUGGAGUCUUGUAGAGGGGGGUGGAAUUCCAGGUGUAGCGGUGAAAUGCGUAGAGAUCUGGAGGAAUACCGGUGGCGAAGGCGGCCCCCUGGACAAAGACUGACGCUCAGGUGCGAAAGCGUGGGGAGCAAACAGGAUUAGAGACCCGAGUAGUCCCUGUCUCUUAUAC